ACGAACGCUGGCGGCGUGCUUAACACCUGCCCGUCGAGCGGUAAGGCCUCUUCGGGGGUACCCGAGCGGCGACCGGGUGAGUAACACGUGGGUGACCUGCCCUCAGCUCUGGGAUAAGCCUGGGAAACUGGGUCUAAUACCGGAUAUGACCUUUCCUCGCAUGGGGUUUGGUGGAAAGUUUUUUCGGCCCGGGCUGGGCCCGCGGCCCCUCAGCUUGUUGGUGGGGUGAUGGCCUACCAAGGCGACGACGGGCAGCCGGCCUGAGAGGGCGCCCGGCCCCACGGGGACGGAGACACGGCCCAGACGCCUACGGGAGGCAGCAGUGGGGAAUAUUGCGCAAUGGGCGGAAGCCUGACGCAGCGACGCCGCGUGGGGGAGGACGGCCUGCGGGUUGUAAACCUCUUUCGACCCCGACGAAUUUGGACGGUAGGGGUAGAAGAAGCACCGGCCAACUACGUG
rnacentral:rRNA from 1 species